UAGUGCAUUUUAUAGUAGAUAGGGGGCGAUUUCGCACACAGCGGCUAAGACUCUUAAACCGGAAGGAAGUAGUUUAAAUACUAACCUCUUAAGGAAAAUGGCGGAAGUCGUUGAGCUGCAGAAACUGAAGUUGGCUGAGCUGAAGCAGGAAUGUGCUGCUCGAGGGCUUGAUGCUAAAGGAAAUAAAGCUGACCUGAUUGCCCGGCUGCAGGCUUACCUUGAAGAGCAUGAAGAAGUAAAUGAAGAGGAUGUACUGGGAGUGUAUGGAGAGGAAGCCUUUGCCAAAGAAGAGAGUGCAGUCCAGAACCAACUGUGUACUGUUCCUGAAAUGGUGACUGAGAAGAAAGUGAAGAUUGACUCACCUACUGCGACUGAUGAAAGACUUCAGAAGAGAGCAGAGCGCUUCAAUAUGCCACCAAAUGUGGACUGCAAAAAGGCUGCACGUGCAGCAAGGUUUGGGUUACCAGUACCUGAAUCUUCCAAAGGAACUUCAGCCAUUCCCAAAGUGAGUGUGGACGUUGAGAUGUUAAAGAAGAGAGCAGAUCGGUUUGGUAUGAAUGUCUCCUCAGUUUCAAAAAAGAUUGAGGAUGAUGAAAAGCUGAAGAAGAGAAAGGAGAGAUUUGGCAUUCUCACAAGUGCAGCCUCUGCUGGAGUGGAUGAUUCAGAGAAAGCCUUCUCUGCUCAUGUACCAAUCUGUUGUGAUUGGUCAACCGCUUAGUGUACUGUUUGAGGGCGAGUCAAUGCUGGUCGUGAAAAGCCAAUGAAGACCAGAGGCAAAGAAGCGUAAACGUGCUGAGCGGUUUGGCAAUGUUUAAAAAUGGAUCUGACCCUUUUUGUACUUUUGAAUAUUAAAGUUUUUUUUUUUUGUUUAGGCUUAUCUUGCAAUAUGCUUUAAUCUCUGUAAUGCUA